UACGGAGGGAGCAAGCGUUGUUCGGAUUUACUGGGCGUAAAGGGCGCGUAGGCGGCGUGACAAGUCACUUGUGAAAUCUCCGGGCUUAACUCGGAACGGUCAAGUGAUACUGUCGUGCUAGAGUACAGAAGGGGCAACUGGAAUUCUCGGUGUAGCGGUGAAAUGCGUAGAGAUGUGGAGGAACACCAGUGGCGAAGGCGACUCUUUGGCCUGUAACUGACGCUGAGGCGCGAAAGCGUGGGGAGCAAACAGG
rnacentral:rRNA from 1 species